rnacentral:rRNA from 1 species
AUGGCCAAGACAACAUUAUGGAGAAGGUUGAAGGAGGGCAGACUGAAGCGCCAUACAAAUUCAAUUAAAUCCACACUGACUGAUGACAACAAGCUAGGUCGUAUUCGGUUUUGUUUAUCCAUGUUGGAUGAACUAAGCGUGCCUGAAGAACCCACAUUUAAAGGCAUGUACAAUGUCAUCCAUAUUGAUGAGAAGUGGUUCUACCGCACUAAAGUGGUAGCAAGGCCUCGUUAUGAUGAUCAUGGUGUUAUGACAUUUGAUGGCAAGAUUGGAAUUUGGCCGUUCACAUAUCAGGACUUUCCAAAGUGGCGUAGCCCUUACAGAGAGAGGGGGGAAGAGGCUCUUUUUGAGAAGAUGUCCCCUGGUAAAAUUGUUUUUAUUAUUGCAAAGGUGAAAAAAGCCUAUGACACGUACCCGGCCGAGAGAAGCAACCGUAUUUUUCUGACCCUUCAGUCAUGCAUGCGCGAGGUACUAAAGCAGAAAGGAGGUAACCGGUACAAGGUUCCACACAUGACGAAGUCAUUUCUGGCAGCACUCGUAAUGCUUCCGGACGUAGUACCCUGCGAUGUUGAUGUUGUAAUUGCUGCUAUUGAGGCCCUUCCAGAUGCUUGA